AGUGAACGCUGGCGGUAGGCCUAACACAUGCAAGUCGAACGGCAGCACAGUAAGAGCUUGCUCUUACGGGUGGCGAGUGGCGGACGGGUGAGGAAUACAUCGGAAUCUACUUUUUCGUGGGGGAUAACGUAGGGACACUUACGCUAAUCCCGCAUACGACCUACGGGUGAAAGCAGGGGAUCUUCGGACCUUGCGCGAUUGAAUGAGCCUAUGUCGGAUUAGCUAGUUGGAGGGGUAAAGGCCCACCAAGGCGACGAUCCGUAGCUGGUCUGAGAGGAUGAUCAGCCACACUGGAACUGAGACACGGUCCAGACUCCUACGGGAGGCAGCAGUGGGGAAUAUUGGACAAUGGGCGCAAGCCUGAUCCAGCCAUACCGCGUGGGUGAAGAAGGCCUUCGGGUUGUAAAGCCCUUUUGUUGGGAAAGAAAAGCAGCAGGUUAAUACCUCGCUGUUCUGACGGUACCCAAAGAAUAAGCACCGGCUAACUUCGUG
rnacentral:rRNA from 1 species